rnacentral:tRNA from 1 species
GGGCCUAAAGCUCAGCUGGGAGAGCGCUUCAAUGGCAUUGAAGAGGUCAGGGGUUCGAAUCCCCUUAGGUCCA